AGAACAUUUCCAUAGUUUUUCUGCAUUGUUUUAAUUUCUUUUACACAUAUUUAAUUACUAUAAUUAUUUUUGAUAUCUGGGAUACAUACGACCUGUCCUGUGUAUGUGGAUGAGAGUAAAACGCAUUUGGAUUGAGACAUGGAGCAGCUCUUUUUUCUUCUCAUUCACGUAUUUGCUUCUUCAUCCUUAAUCUCAGCAGGAAAUGACACGAGCAUACAAACUACGUUACCUCCAAACACAAAUGCUACUUCUCCAUGUUCUGCUGAUUCAAGAACAGAAGUCCAAACUGAAAAAACAACGACUUCUACUUUUUCAUCUCAAUAUGAGAAUAACAUGACCAGCCACACAUCAAAAACUGUGAGCACAACCACAGCUCCUGUAUCUUCUAGCCACACAGUGGGUGUUUCUGUACUUGCAAACACUUCAACAACAGCUAAUUCAAACAUCAGCAUGUCAGAGGGGACGCCAACACCUUCACAGGCACCAGACAGCAGCCUCACUUCGCUCGCCUUUGGUGUGAUGAGUCUUAUACUCAUUUUAAUUGUUGUCAUGGUGGUCUUGGUGACUGCUAUCAACCUCAGGGGACGGUGUAGAGACAUCAAACAACACAAGAGUAUUAAAAGCUGUGAUUCUGUGGUGUCUGACAGCAACAUGACCAGCAACUGUGAGAAAGAGAGCAUCACUCUUGUCUCUGUGAGGACAAUAAACACAGAAAACAAUACAGAUUCUCCCCAGAUGUCUUCAGUUCACAGCACUAUACUGGACAAUGAGGACCAAGAAUUUAGCAGAGACUUGCUGUUCAUCAAUGAUGGACUGUGAUUUCACUCAGUUCAUAGUGCAUGAGAUUGGAGGCUGCAUAAUAUAUUUAUAAUGUUAAAUGAAUGUGAACUAAUGUGCCUCUAGCUGAUGGUCAGUGUACAGAUCACACAUCAUGCUUAUGGCCUACAUUGGUGCACUGCAUAUAAAAUGAUCCCUAUAUCAGACAUGCUCUCGUAUAUUGAACAUGACACAUACUUCAUUGAUAAAUAAAAUGUCACUUUUGUGUUGAUAUUCUUUUUCA
ensembl:lncRNA